GCGCUUUCCCACCAGACGGCGCUCGCAGGCCGCGCGGACUCGGGGCGGUCCCGGGGCCUGGGCGUCUGGCGUCACCCCGCUUGGAGUGGGAGCUGGGCCGGCCGGGGUCGCCGUCCGAGGCCGGUCGUGGGGAUUUCGAGCACUGCGAACACGGCGCCGUCCGCGCCGCCCUCCGUCCUCGGUCACACACGGCCCUCAAACCUUGCAUCAGCUCCCAGGAGACACACGCUGGAGCAUGCUGGAGCCUCAGGACAGCAUUCUAGACAAACAGCCUCAGGCCCCAGGGGCAGUCCCAGGAGAAGGCCGUGGCUUUGGGGUGAGUCCUGCCUAGGAGUCAAGGGGCUGAGACCCUGGGGGUUCUGCAUGGAGCCCUGGGCCUGGAUGGCCCUGCUGAAGGGCCACAGCUGCCCCCUCCUGCCCCAGGGCAUGUGCUGUGGUGCCUGCCUCCACUUCAGAAGAUGUCGGGGCUGCACUUGGGUCCCAGUCAUGAGUCCCAGGGACUCCACUGCCCUGAUGGGCUGGGCUGACAUUGUACAUUCUGGACUCCCUGAGGCCAAGGCCUGUUAUCUCCAAGCCUUGAAGAUGGGAACUAGUGGAGCCCAGGCCUGGGGGCAACACCCAGUCUGAGAGGGGCAGGCCUGCCUCUCACGCCUACCCCCAGAGAGCUUCAGCCACUCCCAAGGGCUGGCCAAGCUGGCCUGGGUGGACACUGCCCAUCUUCCCCACGCCCAGGCCAGCACUCCCAGGAGUCCCUCCUGCAGGGAUAUUGGCAGCUCCAGGACAGUCCUCAGCUACACAUGUCCCCACCAUGUGCCCUGCCAGCCUGUGGCUCUGCAGGCCCCUGAGACACCCUCCCCAUGCCUGCUUCUCCACCCAAACAUUUAGAAGCAUCUCAUGCUAAAAAGGUCCAAAAAGCAGCCCAUGCUCUCCCACCUCCGCUGUAACGGCUCUGCUGCCCCGUUGCUUACAACACCCAGGUGUCAGCCUCGACUCCCCCACUGCCCUCGACCCUGUGCCACCAGCAAAUCUGUCACUCAGGAAUACUCAGCCCUGCCCAACCUUCACAGCCCAUCUGCACUCCUCUCUGGUCACCCUGGCCCUACGGGACGUUCUCCUCUCAGCCGCCAGAGGGGGUCAUGUCCCUGCUCAGAGCCCCGCUGCUUCCCAUCACGCUGUCGCCUGCCCUUGGUGAGCUGACCCCACUGGUCAGCGUGUUAGGCUGGAAGGACUAAGACACCACACUGUGGCCUGUGCUCAGAAUUUAUCUUUUUUCAGAAAACAGGUGAUGAAUGCUAAUGGCCUUUUUGGCAAGAAUGGAAAAGCUGAUCCUCAAAUUCAUGUGGAAUUGCAAGGGCCCUGAAUAAUCAGAACAAUCUUGAAAACAAAGAACAAGGCCAGGCACGGUGGAUCACUCUUGUCAUCCCACCACAGUGAGAGGUUGAAGUGGGAGGAUCUCUUGAGCCCAGGAGUUCGAGACCAGCCUGGGCACCAUAGGGAUACCCUCUGUCUACAAACAAAACAUUAAAAAAAAAUUAGCUGGGCAUGGCCGGGCGCAGUGGCUCAUGCCUGUAAUCCCAGCACUUUGGGAGGCCGAGGCGGGCAGAUCACGACGUCAGGAGAUCGAGACCAUCCUGGCUAACACUGUGAAACCCUGUCUCUACUAAAAAAUACAAAAAAAAUUAGGCAGGCAUGGUGGCAGACGCCUGUAGUCCCAGCUACUCGGGAGGCUGAGGCAGGAGAAUAGCGUGAACCUGGGAGGCGGAGUUUGCAGUGAGCCGAGAUCGUGCCAUUGCACUCCAGCCUGGGUAACAGAGUGAGA
rnacentral:lncRNA from 10 species